UCAUUACCGAGUGAGGGCCCUCUGGGUCCAACCUCCCACCCGUGUUUAUUUUACCUUGUUGCUUCGGCGAGCCUGCCUUUUGGCUGCCGGGGGACGUCUGUCCCCGGGUCCGCGCUCGCCGAAGACACCUUAGAACUCUGUCUGAAGAUUGUAGUCUGAGAUUAAAUAUAAAUUAUUUAAAACUUUCAACAACGGAUCUCUUGGUUCCGGCAUCGAUGAAGAACGCAGCGAAAUGCGAUACGUAAUGUGAAUUGCAGAAUUCAGUGAAUCAUCGAGUCUUUGAACGCACAUUGCGCCCUCUGGUAUUCCGGAGGGCAUGCCUGUCCGAGCGUCAUUGCUGCCCUCAAGCACGGCUUGUGUGUUGGGCUCCGUCCUCCUUCCGGGGGACGGGCCCGAAAGGCAGCGGCGGCACCGCGUCCGGUCCUCAAGCGUAUGGGGCUUUGUCACCCGCUUUGUAGGACUGGCCGGCGCCUGCCGAUCAACCAAACUUUUUUCCAGGUUGACCUCGGAUCAGGUAGGGAUACCCGCUGAACUUAAGCAUAUCAAUAAGCGGAGGAAAAGAAACCAACAGGGAUUGCCCCAGUAACGGCGAGUGAAGCGGCAAGAGCUCAAAUUUGAAAGCUGGCUCCUUCGGGGUCCGCAUUGUAAUUUGCAGAGGAUGCUUCGGGAGCGGUCCCCAUCUAAGUGCCCUGGAACGGGACGUCAUAGAGGGUGAGAAUCCCGUAUGGG
rnacentral:rRNA from 1 species